GAAAAAUGUGAAAAGAGAGACUGGCCUAGCCUCACAGACUACAUCGUUCUCACAUGCUGGCUGCUUCCUGACCUUGAACAUCAUACUCCAAGUUCUUCAGUUUUAGGACUUGGACUGGCUCUCCUUGCUCCUCAGUUUGCAGAUGGCCUAUUGCAGGACCUUGAGAUCAUGGCCACUCAAGCUCCAGAGGUUCCUACGGCAUCAAAAGAGGACUCUGUUGCAACUGCAUCACCGUUCAUCUCCCUCUGCCCAGUCCUGCUUCCUUCAUUUCCUGAAGGGUAUUGUUUCUCAGCGUACUCCCAAUAAACCGCCUGCAAAUAGAUCUGCAUCUCAAGAUGCAAUACCAAACCGGAAGGCAAGAUCCUGGGCACCAUUCCAGGUGAGUGGAGUGGAAUUCUAUGCACUGAGUUUUGACCCUCAGCUUCACCCUCAUGUGUAAAACGGAGAUAAUAUAGUCUCUUGUCUAUGUGUGCAUGUUAACCAAGUGAAGGCAUGGCUCAGAGUUUCUCUCACACUAAUAAUAGCUUUCAGAGAUGGAGAGAGUAUAAUUCUAAUUCUGCUGAAACAACCAGACAAUCCUGUCUGAGAAGAAAAGCCCUAAAAUCUGUCCUUAGCCCAAGGUCACACCAAUUUUGGGCUCUCUCCUUGCCCUAUCAGCUCCCCUUUGAGAUCCCAACAUGCCUUACAGUUGAGGCCAUAUGGGUCAUGUCUUUUUGCAGCAUUUUUCCUGAAGAAGGUCCAGAAUUUCAAUGCUGUUACUUUCUUCUAAGGCAACAUUACAAUCAUAUUUUAAUGAACUCAUUCUCAUCAGCUUUCUGUCUUAGUUGAUGUUUUCCUUUGGGAUCUGUAUGGUCUUAGAGAAUAAGACCUAUGUCCAUUUUACCUACU
rnacentral:lncRNA from 1 species